rnacentral:rRNA from 1 species
AGAGUUUGAUUAUGGCUCAGGAUGAACGCUAGCGACAGGCUUAACACAUGCAAGUCGAGGGGCAGCAUGAGGUAGCAAUACCUUGAUGGCGACCGGCGCACGGGUGAGUAACGCGUAUGCAACCUGCCCGAUACCGGGGUAUAGCCCAUGGAAACGUGGAUUAACACCCCAUAGUACUUUUAUCCUGCAUGGGAUGUGAGUUAAAUGUUCAAGGUAUCGGAUGGGCAUGCGUCCUAUUAGUUAGUUGGCGGGGUAACAGCCCACCAAGACGAUGAUAGGUAGGGGUUCUGAGAGGAAGGUCCCCCACAUUGGAACUGAGACACGGUCCAA